CUUGAAUGUUUUGCACUGGGACCACGUGUUACUGACCACAGUUUUAAAAGGGCAGAACAUCACUGGGCAGAGGAGACAGAAAGGAAGGAAAAUGUACCUGUGGGAGGCACUCCCUGUUGUGGAAGCUCGAGUGGAGAAACUGCUGGAGAAAAAAAAGUGAGAUUGGUUUGGUUUUUUCAUUUUGGGAGCUCAGUUCUUCUAUUUUGACAGUUCCAAACCUCUGUGCUUUGGUAUAAUCAGGAAAAACAAAACAAAGAAUUAUUUUUAUUUUUUUAAUAUUUUUCUCAGCAAGGCCAGGAGCUUUUUGAAGUUUCUCAAAGGUCUUGGAAUGCUUCAGGACCAAAAAAAACAGAUUGCUGGAGUGGCUCAUUUCUGUGUCUCCAUAAACCCUACAGGUUUUUCAUGUUGAUUUUUCAAGGAAUUCCUCUUCAUCAAAGUCUGACAAUUGGAGGGCAGCCAGCAAACUCUGUUCUGGGUCUUCAGAGGGAUUCCUGUACUCCAGAAAAUCCAAUAUUCCAAAGCAUCCAGUCCACUUAAAGAAUUCAACUGAAAGGCAACCUCUGGUGUUACCUUGCCAGAGCUGAGAUAACCUGGGGGUAACCUCCAGGGCUUUAUUUCCAGCUGUGUUUCUGUCCUGCUGUGCAGUGUCUCUUGUGUGGGAAGCUCUCCUUUUAUUGCAGGAAGUGUUUUCCACUUCCUUCCCUUUCCUUCUCACCUUCUGGUUUCCUCCCCAGGUACAAGGAGGUUGUUCGGUACCUGAGAGCUGUGAAAUGCAGUGAAAACGGAAGGCUCCGAGACCUUCGGGACCUGAUCCCAUUCUACCUGUGCAAAACUGGGAAUUUCCUGGAUGCUGCCCAUUCCCUGCUGAUCCCUGUGAACAGCCUGGCCUGCUGCUCUGCCUGCAGGAUCACUCCCUGCCAGUUCAAGAUCUACCUCAAGAUCUUCAGGACAGGCUGUGUUCCCUCUGGGAAUGAGAUGCUGGAGACAGGGCCCUGGCUUUCGGCUGGCUCUCCCCUGAGGAACACUGUGCUAAUUAAGCAGGCACUCAAACUGCUCUACAGCAGUGAGACACUCUACAGGAACGCCAAAUGUUGGAGUUCGUUCAUCAUGAUUUUGGGGAGCAGCAAUUUGUUGGAAAAGAGGGGGAACCUGCUUCCCUUAUCCCUGAAGGAGCCCCCCCUUAGCUUCCAAGAGAAUGUGCUGGCUGCCAGUGCCAACUUCCUGAAGGAUCUCAAGUCUGGAGUUAAUGUCUCUUUACCAUCUGCUAUUUUCACUGGUGAGCUGCACCACGAGGCUUCUUUCAUCCUGGCAGUGCAAGCAGUGCAGCAGAUGCUUUGUUGUGACCUUCCCCACUUGAAUUCCUUCAUAGAGCUAGUCCUGGCUUUUGGGAAAAACUUCUGGCCUCUGAGGCUGUUGCUGGACCAACUUUCCUAUGAGGAGCACAUCCUGUGUGGCACUGCCAACCUGCUUUUGAGGGAUCUGAGUCGGGAGAAAGCCAUGAUGCUGAGAGUGUGGGAGAACCUUGGUCCCCAGUAUGUGGGGGAGUUCCUGUGCCUGUUCCUGACCUCCAGACACAAGAGGAUGCAAUCUGUGGGGCUCCUCAGCCUCAACGUGGUCAUAGAGAACCUGCACCUAUGUCCCUGGGCAAAGCAGCUCUGCACCUUUUUCCACGAAUCAGGGUUGAGGCAGCUCCCCUUUGGCACCACAGUUUACCACGAAGUUUCCAAGUUUGUCAGUGCCUUUGAGAAGCUCUGAUUUGGACCAAAUCCUCAGGAAUGUUUUCCAUUUGUUUUUUGGUUUUUUUUUUCAUCUGAGCAGUCUCUUCCUGGAGAGUUCCUUGGGUUUGCUGUUGUUGUUACCUCCAGGAACAGUCAGCUAAAAACUGACUUUGCUGGCUCUGCAGUGGGAACAGAGCCACGUUUUGGGAGUUUGUUGGCAGUUCCACAUAUUAAGGAGUUGUUGGAAGAGGCAGCAGGUUGGAGUCACUUCCAGAAGCUGAGAAAAGCAGGGGAAACACAGAUGGAGCAAGAAGCAGCAAAGGAUAUUUUUUCCUCCUGUUGGGACACAAACCAAACUGCUGAGAGGGAAAAGCUUUAACCCAGGAGAAGGAGCUGACAACUCCCUCUGCAGCAGUUUGGGCUCAGGUGCUCUGAUUUUGGGUUUCAUUCCAAACCAGGAGGCUGGAAGAUAAAACUGAGCUUUACAACCCCAGGGUGGGGCAGCCAAGAGCUGAGUUUAUUUGAAAAUAAUCCUGAUUUCAAGCUGGUUUUUUAUUUUCUGCUGAAAAGAAGGUUUAGACUGGUGCUGGUGGCUCUGUGCAUUUCCCAGAUCCUAAUUCUGGGGGGAAUUAGGAGUUCACUCCGACCUGGGGAGAUGAAAGAACAUUUUGGAGCCUGGUUUGGGCUCUGUCCCUCUCUGCACUGCUUGGGCAAGCAGGAAAACAAACCUUAAUAUGUGACCAACUGCACUUUGCACAAUUCCAGGGGUCUGGGGGCUUCUGCACCUCCUGUCAGCCCAAAUUUCCUAAAAAACAAAUGUAUCUGGAUGGAAAUUGGACACCUUGGGAAUUAAAACUGUUCAAGUUUCAUUGUUACAUUGGCAUUUUGGGUGGUUUUUAUUUGGUGG
rnacentral:lncRNA from 1 species